rnacentral:rRNA from 1 species
CCUACGGGUGGCAGCAGUGAGGAAUAUUGGUCAAUGGUCGGGAGACUGAACCAGCCAAGCCGCGUGAGGGAUGAAGGUACAGAGUAUCGUAAACCUCUUUUGUCAGGGAACAAAUGCGGGGACGUGUCCCCGGAGCAGUGUACCACAAGAAAAAGCAUCGGGUAACUCCGCGCCAGCAGCCGCGGUAAUCCGGAGGAGGCGAGCGUUAUCCGGAUUUAGGGGGGUUAAGGGGUGCGCAGUGGGUCUGUUAAGUCAGCGGUAAAAGCCCGGGGCUAAACUCCGGCCCGCCGUUGAAACUGGGAGUCUCGAGUUGGAGAGAAGUAUGCGGAAUGCGCGGUGUAGCGGUGAAAUGCAUAGAUAUAAGGAAGAACACCAGUGGCGAAGGCGGAUUACUGGAAGAUAACUGACGGUGAGGCGCGAAAGCGUGGGGAGCAAACAGGAUUAGAUACCCUUGUAGUC